rnacentral:rRNA from 1 species
GAUGAACGCUGGCGGCGUGCCUAAUACAUGCAAGUCGAGCGAACAGAUAAGGAGCUUGCUCCUUUGACGUUAUCGGCGGACGGGUGAGUAACACGUGGGUAACCUACCUAUAAGACUGGAAUAACUCCGGGAAACCGUGGCUAAUGCCGGAUAACAUUUAGAACCGCAUGGUUCUAAAGUUAAAGAUGGUUUUUCUAUCACUUAUAGAUGGACCCGCGCCGUAUUAGCUAGUUGGUAAGGUAACGGCUUACCAAGGCAACGAUACGUAGCCGACCUGAGAGGGUGAUCGGACACACUGGAACUGAGACACGGUCCAGACUCCUACGGGAGGCAGCAGUAGGGAAUCUUCCGCAAUGGGCGAAAGCCUGACGGAGCAACGCCGCGUGAGUGAUGAAGGUCUUAGGAUCGUAAAACUAUGUUAUUAGGGAAGAACAAAUGUGUAAGUAACUGUGCACGUCUUGACGGUACCUAAUCAGAAAGCCACGGCUAACUACGUG